GCCGGCGGGGAAGUUGCAACUGGUUGAGCAGCUCCGAAUGUGCGUGCUUAGGCUUUGGAUACUUGGUUUUUUCUUUUUUUUUUUUUUUUUUUCUCUUUUCUUCUAUUUAUUUAUUUAUUUAUUAAUUUUUACUUACCGCAGCCUAAAAAAGCAUGCCUUGGGGCUUCUCCUCCCUACCACAGCCGGGCCGCCCCAGCACAAGCGCAGCCAAUCCCGGCGGGUUGCGAGACGGAGGGAGGAGGAGGAGGGCGAGGGGCAGCCACGCGGGGCCGCGGGCGCGGCAGGUGGGGGAUGGCCCGGGGGGCGGAGGACAGCCGACACCGCCCAGAAGCCGCGCAGCUCCGGCCCCGAGCCGGAGCGUGGCUCGAGCAUCGCUGUAAGAGCCCGCGGCCGCCCCCUCCCGAGCUCUUAGCCGUCCCCUAAAGUUUAUUUUUAGCCCCCGGAAAGCGCUAUAAAGGUCCCGCGGAGCGAGCGGGCCGGGAGACGUGGCACCGCGCUGCCUGCAGCCACUUCUCUGAACUGUUACCUUCAAAAUGAAGAGCAAGACAGAGGUGAGAACAAAGAAAGCCUUGGAAAAAUCCGGUCAUAACAUCUGAGGAAUAGAAAUAAUAGGAAAUACUUAUACAGUCAGAGUUUGGAUGGAAUUUAUGAAAAGUUACAAAGGGCCCUAUUACAUUUGUAUCUAGAUUUGGGAAUUUUAAUUUUACACAUAAUAAAGAUACCAGUGCAUCUUUUCCUCUACUUUGGAUGAUAAUGCAUUCUGCUGUCUUUAGCCUUGCAAAAUUUUCUUAUACCAACUAAUGUACAUUCAGCUUAAUUCUUUAGUUGUUAGACCUAAGACACCUUCUCACAUCAAGCUAGAGCAUGAAUAAUAAUAAAUCAUUAAAAACCAUCCUCUCUGUUUGCUGGUCUAUAAAUAUAAAUAUUAGAUCCCUGAAUUUCUAUGUCCCCAGCAGAACAAGUGGGAUUUGAAUAAAAGGUAUAUGUAUAUGCGACCUUAUCACUGCCAAAUGCCAAAAGUACAUAAUAUAGAGCUUAUCUGGACUUCAGGCCUUCGGUGCUGUGUAGGUAGAGGUGAUUCUUGGCAUAACUCCUACCUUUGUAGAAUUAAAACAUCAUAAUUUUUAGAAGAGUUCUUAACCAAUUGUGUAGACAUCAUAAUUGGGCAGUAUUUCUGUGACACUGAUGUAGCAUUAAGAGACCUAAAUCAAAUUUUGUCCAUGAAAACACACAAAACAGUCAGUGAGCACCAGGCAAUGGGGAGUAAUAUGUGAAAAAGGACAGCAGCAAUGAAGUCUAAUCCCAGUGAUAUAUUCCUCUGUUGCCUACACACUCUGUUCUGUUGCCUGCUGAGAAAAACCAAUCUAGAUUGUGUUAUUUACAACUGAUCUUUUUAGGCUAGAACUGUUAAAACAGAAUGCCAAACAACUUGAAAGUUUCUGUAGAAAUACUGUUAGGAAGACAAAAGAGAAAAUAAAUUAAAGCUAAUGAUUAUUUAUCACUGAGAAACACACACACACACAAAAAAGCCUUCUGAGUUUACUUUGCUGGUUUCAAGUACUAAAACUUCCACCUCAAAGUCUGUUCUUCUGUCUCAUUAGUCUUAAUUCAUGGCAGUGCAGAGCAAUAGAAGCGUAAGGAGGUGCUCAUUUCAUACUAGAUUUGAAAGGAAGCCCAACAAGCAGCUGUACAAAGUUGUUUUUUUGUUUGUUUGUUUGUUUGCUUUUUUGUUUUUUUGCAUCCUGGCACUUCUGGAUUUAGCAGCUGCUCUGCCUGUCUGCACUCGGGGUCAAACAUUUAAGAGUCAACUAAAUGUGAGGGAGGUUUCCCUACCAAGUGUCAUUCACAAGAGCAGAUGCUGCAGGCUGUGAAUUAGGGACAGGGGAUAGUCUCACAUCAUCUACUGACUGCUAUUAAUAACCCUGUUUACAUCUGAUCCCUGCCCCAAAUCCUUCCCAUAUGGUACUCAAGUACCAAUUUCUUAUGUUUUCCAAAGGUCACCUAUCAUCAGCACCAAGAACAGACCACAGGUCCCCUGACACAGCACUACCACUGUGCAGAAUCUGUGUUGAGCUAAACUCUCUGCAGACAUGCCUUUAGCUUUUAUGCUGUGCUGUCGCAAAGCAGUGCUCAGAACAAAGGAAGCCCAUUUCCUAAGCAGUUGAAAACUUUGCUAGCAAAGUACAGUGCACUUGUUCAUUGCAGGCAGUCCAUUUAAAAAUGUACACCUAUCUUCUAUGUUGUUCUUCCAUUUAAAUCUGCAUAAAUCAGCCUGCAUCGUAGCUUUGUCAGCUGGCUGAUAUUCAACAAUGAGAGGAAGUAGAAAGCGGCAGAAUUAAUAUCCACUGGCUGAAUGUAGUUCCAGUACCACCUAACACUAGAGUGUUUGACUAAUUGAUUGCCCUUAGCAUUCUGCUAACAACAGAUGUACGGUAUGAGUUAAAUUAGUAAAUUUGUAUUGCUCCUAUUGCUUUCCAUAGCCUGAAACAGUUGUAAUUAUUGAAAUUAUUUAAAUCAGAAACAUUGUAUUCAAAACACUUUAAUUGAUUUUCUUUGUAUUUUUGUUAAUAAAAACUGCUCUAAUAAAAGUACCGUGGGGUAAUGAUUUGUAGUUUCGGCCGCACACUUGAAAACACGAAGGGGAUCGUGCUGAAGAGCAGAACACCUAUCAGAGCCAGCUCCAAGAACUCAGAAUCUGAUUCUCCACAAUCAGAGUUUCAGAAAAUAAGCCUCCUUCCAAAAGGAGUAUGUUCAGACAUACUGGCAAAGAGCAAAAGCUAUUGUUUCUUUGUAGCUACACCAGCUCCACUGAGAUUGCAAUUUUGUUUUGGUCUUUUUUUUUCUACAUAAUGAAACUCGCAGUUCAUAAAAGAUCAGGUUAAGGUAAGGAAACUGAAAUUAGUGUUAACUGUGUUUCUAUCAUCAUGCUUUACAUAAUACCAGAAGAUAUCAAAAGGAGAUCAAAACUAUAAUGUCUACGCAUCCUGAAGUACCUCUUAUCUGUAAAGGACAUCCUCAUUCAGAGCAAACGGUGAGUGCACCAACCUAUUUAAACAAAAUACGAUUGGCCACUGUUAUGUCCUUUAUCAGACAUAUGUUUGCAGAGACUUUAAAGGCUGGAAUUUUUGAAGUAGUACAAUUACUAUGCAUGACAAAAUCAUAAAUGAAAUAUUUUGCAUAAAAAAUGUCAGCUGUGGACAGAUAGUCUAAUUAAAAAGACGAUAUGAAGCAGAGCAAGAAAUAAAUAGGAGCUAUAUUGCUAGUGCUAUCAUUGCUAUUCUGAUAAUCAAUUCCUUCUGAUACCAAAAAGAGUGUUAUUAACAGGACUCUGUCAACAAGUGGGGAAAAAAUCUUGUAUUAUCUCAACAAAAACAGGAGUCAAAAAAUAACAAUACAACCCAAAGCCUCCAUGCUUGCCAACAUACUCAACUUUUCUCAAAAAUGUGUCAUGUAUUAUGCUCAAAUGACACAGGAACUUGGACCACAAGAUGGGAACUAAUUCUGAAGUUAGGGACUAUUUCUGAAGAACAGUCUUCCCAAAGCCAUUCAUUUUGAUCACUUAGUAAAUGCAAUUGUUAAGCAGUUUCUUUGCUUUCUUCUUUUUGUUUGUUUUUUUUUUCUGUUGUUGUUAAUUUCAUAAAUCAGUUGUCUGAAGUCAGAACAACAAAGCAAAUAUCUGCAUAUAUACCCAAAGUAUAAUGAAAAACAAAGACAAGUAGUUACGAUCUGUCAUCACCUUUAUUCUCCCUGAUUCUCCUUCUGAUUUGUAAUGCACCACUGUAAAACAGUGAGGUCACCAAAGCCAAGAUUUGCAUAUAGGAUACCCACAUUUAGAUAACCUUUUUAAAGGCGUGCGGUGUCAGUAAGUGAUCUCUCCUGAAGGAGCAAAGCACAGAACAGCUCCAAAACACAGACGGUCAAUUUUGCUGCCUUUUUGCUGGUUCAGGAAGUUCAGAAUAGGAGCUCAGGUUGGAUCAGUAUUCACUAUUUGUUUUCUCAACUAUUCAAAUUGUUAGGGUUUUUUGUUAGAGAGGGAAUAGAUGUGCUACCACUUGAGGCAAAAAGCACAUGAAUUGGAACAGUUUUUUGUAACCAUUUGCUUUCAAUCUGCUGCUGUGACCAAAAGAAAUGUGAACUGGCAGAGUGCUGCUGUUAAUAUAAUUCUAUUUUGCAACAGCUGAGGAAAUGACGAGAUUAAAAUAACUUCCAAAUACUCGCACUGAACAUUUAAUGGCUGGUGUUCCCAGGGUCAGCAGGCAUGGAGAUGAGAUGGGGAAUGUCUGGGCAUUCUUUACAGCAGAUUGCCAGGAAGAGCCUUCCAACUGACUAACUCAACAGGGUUUUUCUUCCUUGCUAGAUGCAGUAAGAGCAUCUAAAAACAUUUUGAAGUUUUGAUUAAGGGCAAAUAUUUGGCAGAGAUAGUUCUGACUUCUCUGGGAGUGAGAACAGGUUGUAUCAUUUCUUAGUUGAUGCUAGCAAAAGUCUUUUAAGGAAAUGAAGUGCCUUCAUUUUCUUAAACACCAAUAGGAUUUGCAAUUAGGGGGAAAUUAUAGGUACAGUAAAUAAACAGAGCUCAAAGCUCCCACUGUAUUCAGUGACAUCUUGAAGUACACCGCAUGUCUUAAAAGUGACACUGUGUGAGAAAGUACCUUCUAAGACUGAAGCAAUUACAUUCUGCUUGUAAUUCUUUAUGAAGAAACUGACAAAACAAAAUUCAAAUGCAUUUUUCAUAUAGCAGAUAUGACAGAAGAAAGCAGCAUGGAAAGACAUAAAGGGUGGCAAAAUACUCUUUGGAUUUGUUAGCUGAGAUGCUAAAAGCAAACCAGAAUUUGCUCAUCUCAUUUUAAAUGAUAUCUUUCCCUUCAGUUUUAGCAUUCAUAUCACUUAUUCAAAAAUACAGAUAAAUAACAUAUAGUCUAUGUUCAAUAACUAUACUACAUCAGAAGUACAGUUGUUUGGGUUUUUGUUUUGUUUUGUUUUGUUUUUUAAUCUACUUAAGAGAACCACAGUACUGGUUACCACUGAGACUUCACUGUCAUCCAUAAAUAUCAUGCCCUAGGAAACAACAGAAGAGUUGAUGUCUCUGUGCCAUUUACUCAGUGGUUAGCACAACAGGACUCUGGUUUGGCUUGGAUCUAUCACCAGGUGUUACUGUUACAUAUAUAUAACAAAAAUGAUAACAGUCCUUCUGUUUGAUAGAAAGUUACACACUGUGAUAAUUUGGGAACACUGUUAAAGAUAAACUCUCCAAAUGUGAUGAGAAAAAGCCACAGGCGUUCUGACAAUAAGGAUAUAUAGAGAGAUCUGAGAGUCCCACACCACCACCAGGAUCUAGGAAUGGAAUAUCUAAUUAAUCUAGCUAAAAUGUCCUUAAGGGUACAUUUGGCCGCUCAGAAAUUAACUACCUGACAAACAUAUGUCUUUUCUUGGUAUUUAGUUUCAACUUUGUCUUUCAACUCCCUUCCCCAUAGCUGAAAAUAAAGCGCUGAAGGAAUGAACAAGUCCUACUCAUUGGUUUGGGUUUUUCUUAGUAAGAUUAUAAAUGAAAACACAUUUGACUAAGUCCUGUGGAAAAUGUAAUUUGUUGUGUCACAGCAAUCGCUCAGCAUGUUUGCAGCUGGGUUUGAUGAUACCAGACCCUGCUUGUUAUAAGAUCAAUAGUAAUGGCCUCAAGGAAAGAAGGAUAGAUGAAGAAAGACUGAUGGCUUGCAGGCUCAAACUAGUUUGGGUCAUCAGGAGCUAAAAGGGAAAUGUUUUUUAACUUGCCAAUGAAUUACUCUCUCAAUACAAAGACCAAGGAGCAGAGGCCAAAUGCACUUCUCCUGCCUCAUUUCAAAAACUUUCAAUGUCUUUUAUCAAAGUCUUUUUGAUUACUACAGAAAGGGAAUGGGAAAAUAUUGUGCUAUGUAUAUAUAUAUAUAUAUAUAUAUGUAUAUAUAUAUAUAUAGCUUAAAACAUUCUGAAAAGAAUGAGAGAGUAAGUAGUAUUAAAUACAGUAUUUGCAAUGGAGCUUGCCAUAGGCCAUCUUUAAUUCCACCACUUAAAUGAAGCAGUACACCCCUUCUGACAAUCCAUCAAUGUCCCAUUUGUUUGUGUUAGUUCAGUUCAAGAUGAUCUAAUUAGAAAUGCUUUAUCUUGGAAAAAUCCAAGAGCCUUGCACAAGCACCUGGGCCAAAGCAGGAAAAUUUUUAUCCCUCCAAACACUCAUUACUGCCAACUUAAUGCUGGAAGUGUAGCAGAAGUACUAUAGUUCCAAUGCAAACAAGGCUGAUUUACUUGAGGUCCCAUCGAGGUGUCAGCCGCUACUGCUGGACUGAGAGCUCUGACUGCGCCAUUGCUCCAAAAUCACUUUUCUCUAAACACUGAGUGAACAAGCAUGCAACAAACUGCAAGUAUUAAUUACAGAGCUCAAAACUGAAGAAGAAUCAUCAGUCUUUGCAAAUCUUCCCCAAUGGCUUCUCCUGAUUCUGCCCUAUAGCUGCAGGACGGGGCCGUAGGCUAAGCUCAGCUCAGCUCCACAGUAGAAAGCCAAGAACAAAAAAGGAAAAUCAAAAAUCCCUUGCAGUGUAUAUUCACUGGUGUGGGUAUUCACUUCGACUUAGUGUUUAGGGCUGAAGGAUUACUUGGUAAGAAGGAAAAAGAAAGAGGAACAGAGAUUAAAAGCAAGCAGAUAAAGAAAAGCUUCAAGAUACAAAAAUAGCAAAGGGUAAGGAGAAUGUGAAAAGACAAAAAUAUCAUUUUUUACUGCAGAAACACAGUAAUAAAAUCUUUUAUCAGUACCAUGAAAUCCACCUGUCCUCUCCUCAGAAAUAUUCAGUUAGCCCAUCACUCAAGCUCUCAGAUUCUCUAGUGUAGAAUAGAGACAAGAUUUCAGGGCAAUAGACCAUCUAGUGCUGGUGCUCACCAGUAUCAAAUGCCUGAGGAAGAGUUUAACAAGUCAAACAUACAACUAGCCUCUGGUGAUUUGUGAUUUAUAGACGUCCAGUAAUAAAGGAUCUUACUAUGUUUAUACAGCCCUUGAUAGACCUUCAUUUCCCUAAUUUAUUUAUUCACUGUUUUUGAGCAUCCACAGCAUCCUAGGGUAAAGAAUGUCCCAGCUGAAGUUGGUUUUGAAAACACACAUUUUGUUUUGAUCACAUUCCCCUUUACUCCCCACAGUAAUGGAGAGAGGCAUGGAAAGGAACAGGUGAGACCAGUCCACCAGUGCAUGUCUCCAAGACUGGUUGCCUCCACCGGAAUUUUGGAUUUUAUAAUCAUGGGAAAGUCUUUGAGACACAAGAUCUGCUGGGGGUCGUCGUAACCCAUCUUUCUCAAUUGGGAAGAUAUUUCUUGGCCUGUAACAUGGUGAGCCUGAUUGAGAGGGCUUUAAACUACAAUCAGCUUGGGUGGGGGGGAUACCAUUAGGAACACUGAGGUUGUGCCACGGGAUGAUGUAGACUGUUUGAGAGUGGCAAGGCUAAUGGGAUCAUUUGUGACACUUCAGGAAGUUCUACAGGUUCAGGAAUACAUCUGAAAUGUUUGAAUACUAACACACACAGCAUGAGAAAAAAAUGGGAUGAACUGGAAGCUUUGGUCCUUUCCCAGACCUCUGAUAUCAUUGGUAUCAGGUGCUGUUGACUCCCUGGAGGGUGUAGAGGCUUUUCAGAGUGACAGUGGAGUAUCACGAAUCACCAACAGCCUGAAGUUCAACAAAGGAAAAUGAUGAGAUCUGCACCUGAGAUGGAGCAAUGUCAAACACAAGCACAGAUGGGAGACAAGUGACUGGAGUCAAGCUCAGCUUGAGCCAGCGGUGUGCCCUGGUAGCCAAGAGGGCAAACUGCAUUUUGGGAUGCAUUAAACGCAGCACAACCAGCCAGUCAAAACAGGUGAUCCUUCCUCUACACUUAGCAUUACUGCAGCCUUACUUCAAAUAUUGUGUACAGCUCCGGACUCCACAAUAUAAAAAGUGUAUCAAUAUAACUUCAAAGCAUCUAGAGAAGGGCAAGAAGACUUGUAAAAGAGUGGAAAGACAUGUCCUAUGAGGAGAGGCUGAGGAUACUUGGGCUGUCCAACCUGAAGAAGAAGUGGCCGAGAGGCAACCUCACAGCUCUUUGCAUCUCCCUGAGGAAGGGAAGCAGAGGGAUGUGCCCAACUCUUCUCCCUGGGAACCAACGGCAGGAUGUAUGUGAAUGGCACAAAGCUGCAUUAAGGGAGGUUCAGACUGAACAUUAGGAGAAAUUCCUUUAUCAUAUACUGGAGCAGGCUUCCUAGAGUAGUGAUUCAUGUUGAAUGCCUGUCAGUGUUAAAGAGAUGUUUGGACAAUGUCUUUAAUGAUGUUUUAACAUUUGGUUAGUCCUGAAGUGGUCGGACAGAUGGACUAGAAUACGUCGCAAGGUCUCUUCCAACUGAACAAUUCUAUCCUAUUCUGUUCUGUUCCUUCACUUGUCAUUGUAUCAUAAAACAAAGGGAAUUCUUUAUUUGCCUUCUCCAGAGGGCCUUCUCACAUGAUAGUUCAAAUCUCAACUUUCUAUCUUCUCAUCCACUUCUUUCAAGCCAAAAACUGCAAACAGCUUUUUAGAUUCAGGUAUACUAUGGAUUUCUACCUUGCUAAUUACUAACAUUAAGUUUUAUUUUUGACCACCUCUGAGAAUCAAGAUGAUGUUUUCACAGAGCUGCCACUUGCAACUCCAAUAUCUUUUUGUUGAAUACCAAGAACUUGAGAAUCCACUUCUACUUGUGCAAAGUUAGGUUUGUUUUGUUCUAUGAGCAUCCCACUACACUUACAUAAGCAGAAUUUCAUUCUCACUCUUACUAUCCAUUCAUGCUAUCUUCCGAGGUCUUUCUGCAGAAUCUGUAGAUGUUCUUUAUCUUUGCCACCCACAGUAACUCAGUAUUAUCAGCAUGUGCCCAAAUACCUCUUGUUGUACAUGAAGAAUGACAGAUUGAUUUUCACCAGAUUGUAUUACACAGUUUAAAAAAUAAAAAGAAACUGAGACAAAAUACAACAAAAUGUUGUGCCUAUUCCAUCUUGAGCUCUGAUCUUUGACUGAGUUUGGAAAAGAAAAAAGAAAAAAGAAUUAUAAACAUUGUCAUGUUUACCACUUCAAUGCAGAGGAUUUUGAUUUCCAAACUAUCUUCUACUGCUUGGAUUAUUUCCUUGAUGAACAGCAUGACAAUUUAAGAGAUUAUCACCAAUUAAUUCAAAAUGACCAUUUUGAGGUGUAAUCUUGAAGAUUCAAUAAAUACUGAGAAUUUUUUUUUUUUUUUUAUCUCAAUCUUGUGACCAUAAAUACAAG
rnacentral:lncRNA from 1 species